rnacentral:rRNA from 1 species
GACGAACGCUGGCGGCGUGCUUAACACAUGCAAGUCGAACGGAAAGGCCCUGCUUUUGUGGGGUGCUCGAGUGGCGAACGGGUGAGUAACACGUGAGUAACCUGCCCUUGACUUUGGGAUAACUUCAGGAAACUGGGGCUAAUACCGGAUAGGAGCUCCUGCUGCAUGGCGGGGGUUGGAAAGUUUCGGCGGUUGGGGAUGGACUCGCGGCUUAUCAGCUUGUUGGUGGGGUAGUGGCUUACCAAGGCUUUGACGGGUAGCCGGCCUGAGAGGGUGACCGGCCACAUUGGGACUGAGAUACGGCCCAGACUCCUACGGGAGGCAGCAGUGGGGAAUAUUGCACAAUGAGCGGAAGCCUGAUGCAGCAACGCCGCGUGCGGGAUGACGGCCUUCGGGUUGUAAACCGCUUUCGCCUGUGACGAAGCGUGAGUGACGGUAAUGGGUAAAGAAGCACCGGCUAACUACGUG